GCAGAUACAGCUCAGUGGUAAAGCACUUGCCUAGCAUGCGAGAGGCCCUGGGUUCCGUCCCCAGAACUGCA
rnacentral:tRNA from 1 species